rnacentral:rRNA from 1 species
UACGUAGGGUGCGAGCGUUGUCCGGAAUUAUUGGGCGUAAAGGGCUCGUAGGCGGUUUGUCGCGUCGGGGAGUGAAAACCAUGAGCUUAACUCAUGGCUUGCUUUCGAUACGGGCAGACUAGAGGUAUGCAGGGGAGAACGGAAUUCCUGGUGUAGCGGUGAAAUGCGCAGAUAUCAGGAGGAACACCGGUGGCGAAGGCGGUUCUCUGGGCAUUACCUGACGCUGAGGAGCGAAAAGUGUGGGGAGCGAACAGG